rnacentral:tRNA from 1 species
GGCGGCAUGGCGAAGUGGUAACGCGACUGUCUGCAAAACAGUUAUGCGCCGGUCCAAUUCCGGCUGCCGCCUCCA